GAUGAACGCUGGCGGCGUGCCUAAUACAUGCAAGUCGAGCGAACGGACGAGAAGCUUGCUUCUCUGAUGUUAGCGGCGGACGGGUGAGUAACACGUGGAUAACCUACCUAUAAGACUGGGAUAACUUCGGGAAACCGGAGCUAAUACCGGAUGAUAUUUUGAAUCGCAUGGUUCAAAAGUGAAAGACGGUCUUGCUGUCACUUAUAGAUGGAUCCGCGCUGCAUUAGCUAGUUGGUAAGGUAACGGCUUACCAAGGCAACGAUGCAUAGCCGACCUGAGAGGGUGAUCGGCCACACUGGAACUGAGACACGGUCCAGACCCCUACGGGAGGCAGCAGUAGGGAAUCUUCCGCAAUGGGCGAAAGCCUGACGGAGCAACGCCGCGUGAGUGAUGAAGGUCUUCGGAUCGUAAAACUCUGUUAUUAGGGAAGAACAUAUGUGUAAGUAACUGUGCACAUCUUGACGGUACCUAAUCAGAAAGCCACGGCUAACUACGUG
rnacentral:rRNA from 1 species